rnacentral:rRNA from 1 species
AUUGAACGCUAGCGGGAUGCUUUACACAUGCAAGUCGAACGAGUGGCGGAAGGGUGAGUAAUAUAUCGGAACGUGCCCAGUAGCUGGGGAUAACUACUCGAAAGAGUGGCUAAUACCGUAUACCAUUGGAGCGGCCGAUAUCGGAUUAGCUAGUUGGUGGGGUAAAGGCUCACCAAGGUAACGAACUGGAGCUGGUUUGAGAGGACGACCAGGCACAUUGGAACUGAGACACGGCCCAGACCCCUACGGGAGGCAGCAGUGGGGAAUUUUGGACAAUGGGGGAAACCCUGAUCCAGCCAUCCCGCGUGUAUGAGAAGGCCUUCGGGUUGUAAAGUACUUUUGGCAGGGAAGCGGUAUCUGCAGAAUAAGCACCGGCUAACUACGUGCCAGCAGCCGCGGUAAUUC